GGGCGGGGCACCUGGCUGGGGUGUGCGGGGUCUCCGAGGCUGGAGGAUCUGGCCCCUCCCAGCAGAAAGCUGAGGACCCGGUUCCCUCACCGCGCGCGCGGCUGGGCGGUGAGGGGCAGCAAGGAUCCCGCUAACCAGACGCAGGGAACGGUGGAGGCUGGAGAAACCCUUUCCUGCCGCCCUGGUGACCUGCGCCUCCGCCUACUCCAGGAUUCCCCGUUUGCUUGCAGCGCUGGAUGCGGCAGAGUGGCGCCCAACGCGGGGCUGGAAGAGAAGGUCUGCCACGAGCCGGAAAAGGUGAAACUGCAGACGUUGGAAACGGUAGCCUUGCCGUUGACGGAGUGGAGACCGACCUGCUGACAGCGUUGGAGAAGACAGCAAUGUUCACCAUCGUCCAGCGGGCAAGAUCGUGACUCAGCCGUGGAACCCUUCAUCUCAGUGGCCAGGUCCUCAAUCUACUUUGUGAAGCCAGGUCUCUGCCCUCCCCAGUAAGUCUGCACAGUGGCUACUUUAUACCUGGGGAAAAAACCCUAAAAAAAAACAAUCAAGCCACAACACUGAAAGUAUGAGGAAACCCACUGUCUCCAAUGGAAACGAUUCAACCACUAGAAGUCAGGUGUCCGAGCUUGCUGCAUCCAGGAAGAUGCAGCAGGCUGAGCAAACUCUCGUUAGAAGGCUGACAUGUAACCUGCCUGGAGCAAGUUUGUGGCAAGGCAGAGGACUGGCACCCAGAAUCCGGGGGCUGGAAUCCUGGCAAGGGGCCACCUUAAUGCCCUCUGCCUUUGUCCUCUGGACACCCACAUCCUGUCUUUCAUUCCUCGCAAGGCAAGUCUGCCGCCCGCUGCCUGGCAGAUGUCCUGCCUCCCAGUCUUGAGUCGUGUUCCCUAACUGCUCCCCACUCCUCUGUCUUCUCUGGGUCUCGUGAGACCCCUAGGACCCAGUGGCCACUGCAGGUGGCUCAAGGACUCCCCUAUUUUAGGACCCCUCAGGACUGCUGUUGCCUGCGAACCAGUGGCAGGUUUGACAGGUUCUAUCCAAUAGGAGACAGUCUUCUUGGAACUUAAGAAACUGACCAGGCAGAAUCCAGACAAAACGCAGUGAAGCUAAGGGAAUCUCUAACUACUCCAAUACCUGAGAGCCCCACAGCACAACAAAGGGAUAAGUACUGAAGAGCCUGAUGAAGUUAGGAUUUCCAUAAGAGACCACAGCCUGCUAACUGCUGGCUCUAAAUAGGGAGACUUCCAAACUGCUACUUUCAGCUGCCAUCAACACAUCUGGCCCAGUGCUGACUUGUGUCCAUCAGGAGCACUGGGCUUCAUGUGCCCAAUGGUACAGGAAAAAGGAGUGCUCAUAAACCUGCCUUCACCCUUCUCUUGGCCACGAGCAUGCAGCCCUGUGAAACAGACUCCCAGCCACCCCUUUGCCAUUUACAGCUAGGCCCAGAGCUGCACAGAAAGCCAAGGACUGCAGCUCUGUGCUGCACCACUGAGUAACCUCGUGUGAGGAUGACCACCACCCCACUUUCCCCACACAUCACAUGAGCUGAAACAAGGCCUGCACUAGACCACGAGGGUAGGGAACCAGAAUGUCUGGUUCUGUUCAAGGAGCACCCAGUCAGUGCCUUACACAGCUUAAGGUAAAACAUGACUGAGUUACCUCAAAAUGGAUGGGAAAGGGCUUUGAAUUCUAAGAGAAAGAUUGAGGAAGAAACAAAUUAUGGCUUGACACAGUCAAAAGGAGGAGUGGGAAAAGUACUGUUCUGGGAGAGGCUCCAUACAUGAGAAGCCGGAUUUGAACCUGAAGAUGUUAAGCAUUUAGUCUUACAAGUAAAAAGCAGUCUGCACAUUGCACAGGAACAGAAAUAAUUUCUGGAUUGUAGAAAGAAAAGCAGCUCUUACUUGGCUUAUCCCUCCCAGAAUGGGAGCGGGCCCAAGUUCUGUUACUGGGAUUUGCAGCACUUUAGUAACAAACUGCUAUGGCAAGGCUGAAAAUUGUAAGACACUGAUGAAAGAAAUCAAAGAUGACACAAACAAAGAUAUAUAUGAUGUUCUUGGAUUGGAAGAAUCAACAUUG